rnacentral:rRNA from 1 species
AAUCAACGCUGGCGGCGUGCCUCAGACAUGCAAGUCGAACGAUUAAAGCUCUCUUCGGAGAGUGUAUAGAGUGGCGCACGGGUGAGUAACACGUAAGUAAUCUACCUUCGAGUGGGGAAUAACGUUCGGAAACGAACGCUAAUACCGCAUAAUGCAGCGGCAUCGCAAGAUGACAGUUGUUAAAGGAAUUUAUUUCGCUUGAAGAGGAGCUUGCGGCAGAUUAGCUAGUUGGUAAGGUAACGGCUUACCAAGGCUACGAUCUGUAUCCGGUCUAAGAGGACGGUCGGACACACUGACACUGAAUAACGGGUCAGACUCCUACGGGAGGCAGCAGUCGGGAAUUUUGGGCGAUGGGCGAAAGCCUGACCCAGCAACGCCGCGUGAAGGAUGAAGUAUUUCGGUAUGUAAACUUCGAAAGAAUGGGAAGAAUAAAUGACGGUACCAUUUAUAAGCUCCGGCUAACUACGUGCCAGCAGCCGCAGUAAUAC